GUUCUUGUAGUUGAAUAACAACGGUGG
rnacentral:tRNA from 1 species